rnacentral:rRNA from 1 species
CCUACGGGAGGCAGCAGUGAGGAAUAUUGGUCAAUGGACGAGAGUCUGAACCAGCCAAGUAGCGUGAAGGAUGACUGCCCUAUGGGUUGUAAACUUCUUUUAUAUGGGAAUAAAAUGUUCCACGUGUGGGAUUUUGUAUGUACCAUAUGAAUAAGGAUCGGCUAACUCCGUGCCAGCAGCCGCGGUAAUACGUAGGAUCCGAGCGUUAUCCGGAUUUAUUGGGUUUAAAGGGAGCGUAGGUGGAUUGUUAAGUCAGUUGUGAAAGUUUGCGGCUCAACCGUAAAAUUGCAGUUGAUACUGGCAGUCUUGAGUACAGUAGAGGUGGGCGGAAUUCGUGGUGUAGCGGUGAAAUGCUUAGAUAUCACGAAGAACUCCGAUUGCGAAGGCAGUUCACUGGACUGCAACGGACACUGAGGCUCGAAAGUGUGGGUAUCAAACAGGAUUAGAUACCCGAGUAGUC